rnacentral:rRNA from 1 species
GACGAACGCUGGCGGCGUGCCUAACACAUGCAAGUCGAACGGAGUACCUUCGGGUACUUAGUGGCGAACGGGUGAGUAACGCGUGAGGAACCUACCUUCCAGUGGGGGACAACAGUUGGAAACGACUGCUAAUACCGCAUAACACAACGAGACCGCAUGAUCUUGUUGUCAAAGCUUUAUGUGCUGGAAGAUGGCCUCGCGUCUGAUUAGCUAGUUGGUGGGGUAACGGCCUACCAAGGCGACGAUCAGUAGCCGGACUGAGAGGUUGAACGGCCACAUUGGGACUGAGAUACGGCCCAGACUCCUACGGGAGGCAGCAGUGGGGAAUAUUGGGCAAUGGGGGAAACCCUGACCCAGCAACGCCGCGUGGAGGAAGAAGGCCUUCGGGUUGUAAACUUCUUUUACCAGGGACGAAGAACGUGACGGUACCUGGAGAAAAAGCAACGGCUAACUACGUGCCAGCAGCCGCCGUAAGAC